AUUGAACGCUGGCGGCAAGCCUAACACAUGCAAGUCGAACGAGUGGCGGACGGGUGAGUAAUGUCUGGGAAACUGCCUGAUGGAGGGGGAUAACUACUGGAAACGGUAGCUAAUACCGCAUACCAUCGGAUGUGCCCAGAUGGGAUUAGCUAGUAGGUGGGGUAAAGGCUCACCUAGGCGACGAUCCCUAGCUGGUCUGGUAGGAUGACCGGCCAAACUGGAACGUAGACACGGUCCAGACUCCUACGGGAGGAAGCAGUGUGGAAUAUUGGACAAUGGGCGCAAGCCUGAUGCAGCCAGGCCGCGGGUAUGAAGAGGGCCGUCGGGUUGUAAAGUACUUUCAGCGGGGAGGCGUUACCCGCAGAAGAAGCACCGGCUAACUCCGUGCCAGCAGCCGCGGUAAUUC
rnacentral:rRNA from 1 species